rnacentral:rRNA from 1 species
UACGGGGGGGGCAAGCGUUGUUCGGAAUUACUGGGCGUAAAGGGCGCGUAGGCGGCACGGCAAGUCAGGAGUGAAAGCCCUGGGCUCAACCCGGGAACUGCUUUUGAAACUGCCGAGCUAGAGUGCGGAAGGGGCAACUGGAAUUCCCAGUGUAGCGGUGAAAUGCGUAGAUAUUGGGGAGAACACCUGAGGCGAAGGCGGGUUGCUGGGCCGACACUGACGCUGAGGCGCGAAAGCCAGGGGAGCGAACGGG